rnacentral:lncRNA from 1 species
UUGACAAACUCAGUGAACGCCAACGCGACCAAACCAAGCAUCGCGAAACGUCCGUUCCAAAGCUCAGCGUCGGACGUCAUGAAACCUUUGGACUUAGACUCGGCGGUGAUACCCUUGAAAAGGGGUACAAGCGACGCAAGCGUCAAGAUCGCAGUCGUACCAAGGAACCACGAGACGCCGCCGUCGGAGAUCUGAGCCAAAACGUUUUCACCCUUGGAAAGUUCAACCGCCAAGGCCGCCACGAAUCCAACCAUCGCUAAACGCCCGUUUAUUCUUUCUGGUGCUGGA